rnacentral:tRNA from 1 species
GGUUGUGUAGUGUAGCGGUUAUCACUCUGGAUUUUGACGACUGUCACUGUUUCCAGUAACCCCGGUUCGAACCCGGGCACGACCU